rnacentral:misc_RNA from 1 species
GAGUUCUCAAGGUCAUACUUUCGGUGUGGCUUUGGAUAUGGAGGUUUGCAGGCUUCUGAAAAAUGAAGUCGGCUCCUCUGAAAUGCAUUAGUGGUAUCUGAGCAGAGACUACUUACAGGUGUGAUAAUUAUCUAUCUAUGCCUUGGUAUGCUGCAUUAAACAGAUUGCACUGCUUAUAACAAGUGAAAUUUGACAA